rnacentral:rRNA from 1 species
CUGCUCAGUAACACGUGGAUAACCUACCCUUGAGACGGGGAUAAACCCGGGAAACUGGGUAUAAUACCCGAUAGAUCUCGACUGCUGGAAUGCAUCGAGCUUGAAAGCUCCGGCGCUCAAGGAUGGGUCUGCGGCCUAUCAGGUAGUAGUGGGUGUAGCGUACCUACUAGCCUACGACGGGUACGGGUUGUGAGAGCAAGAGCCCGGAGAUGGAUUCUGAGACACGAAUCCAGGCCCUACGGGGUGCAGCAGGCGCGAAAACUUUACAAUGCCGGAAACAGCGAUAAGGGGACCUCGAGUGCCAGGUUACAAAUCUGGCUGUCGUGAUGCCUAAAAAGCAUUGCAUAGCAAGGGCCGGGCAAGACCGGUGCCAGCCGCCGCGGUAACACCGGCGGCUCGAGUGGUAACCGUUAUUAUUGGGUCUAAAGGGUCUGUAGCCGGCCGGAUAAGUCUCUUGGGAAAUCUGGCAGCUUAACUGUCAGGCUUUCAGGAGAUACUGUCUGGCUCGAGGCCGGGAGAGGUGAGAGGUACUUCAGGGGUAGGGGUGAAAUCUUGUAAUCCUUGAAGGACCACCAGUGGCGAAGGCGUCUCACCAGAACGGACCUGACGGCAAGGGACGAAAGCUAGGGGCACGAACCGGAUUAGAUACCCGGGUAGUCCUAGCCGUAAACGAUA